GGUUCGUGACGCUUCUUGGUGAGGCGACUGGCUUGUCACGUCAGCGAGACGGGUUCGAAUCCCGUACGGACCG
rnacentral:tRNA from 1 species